rnacentral:lncRNA from 1 species
UUUUUUUUUGUAUAUCCUCGUUAUACGGGGAUACCAUCCUACGAGGCUACGAUUAAUGUUCGAUGCCUACUUCACAGUUUACCUCCUCCGCACAUUGGGGCUGCUUUCCGCCUUGAUGAAUGUUUUGCUGAAAUGCGAGUUCUGCAUGAAGCUGCAGCUUGGCGAUGCCCAACCCACAACUCAGUAAAACUCGAUACCGCAAUGUUGUACCGUCUAACUGGCAGACAUCAUGCAACAUAAUUACAUAUCAGAUAAUCAAAAUACCCUGUAGAAGCAACUCGGUGAAAAAAAAUCUUGUCUUGCGAACAGAUGUACACUAUAAGUCAACCACUUGUUGAACUAGGAAGAUUAAGCCCCGCGUCAGCUGAAAAAAAUGUUACAAAAUUGAAGUGCCAAACAACCACUCUAACAUGUAUGGAAAGUUUCCUUUUAUCUAUUCUAUUUGACUGACCUAAGCACGCUUAAGCAAAACUACCAUGAUGGACGCGAUGGCCAAGAGCACAAAGGCUGAUGGCGCGCUCGGAAAAUCUUUGCUGGAGCUCAUGAUCAGAGUCUUGAUCUUCCCCUUGCAGCGGCCCUCGUCCGGGGUUGCGACGAGAUCUUGCAUCAUGUUUGACAGAUUGGUCACCAUCUCGAACACCAGUGCCCUCAUUUUCUCCAAGUAAUCCUUGACCGAUUCGCCAGUGCUUGGACGGAGGUCAGUGCUUUGCACGCUAGCUGCAUCACCAUCCUCCGCCUCAUCCCCAGAAACGCUUGAAGCUGCACUAGAGCACUGGCUGAGCUCUGUAAAAUGGGAAGGCAAAAGUUCAAAAUAGAAGCUGUGCUAUAGAGAGUUGAUGAAUCUAAACUGAAGAAUAAUGUUGAUAUCAAUGCUUACUCGACUCAUAUGUCUUAUAGAACUUCAAAACCUUCUCGUUCUUCAUCACAGCAUCCCAAACAUUCUUAUCAGAAGCAAGUGAGGCAACAACAUCCUGCAAGCAACAAAUUAAAGGUCGUGGAGAAAUAAGUCUCUCUCUUUUGAUCUCUCCACGACAAAAUAAACCUCAUGAAAAGAAUAAAUACAAGUAAAGCCUGAUGAUGGUAACGUGAGAAAGGAACAAACACAAAGGAGGAGGAUAUGUCUUGGCAUUUGCUAUACAAGAUCAGAGAGACAAACCUGAGCUUCAGGGUUCUCAUGUAGCAAUGUGAAUGCUUGCACAACACGUCCAGGAGUUCCAGAGGCAGCGAGUAAAUUUUCGUAGUUAUCUUCUUUCUUAGAUGUUUCUGAAUGAACAACGACCUGGGGUGUUUCAGACUCAACAGAUUGUGGAAGUGCAAUUUGUUGAGCAACCUUUGCAUGAUUAUCCUGGUCAGUAAUUGAGAAAUGCUUCUUCGGAGUAUCGAGGUCAGCAGUGUGAGAUUCAGCCUUAGCACUGGUUACACGAAACAUGACUUAUCAGUUCAAUUUCAGGAAAAGGGAUGUUCAAAAAUAAAUACCACAAAUACAAAAAAUAAAUUAAGCUAAAGGUAGAAGAAAAUUACUGAAAGAACAAAAGAACUUUUGGUACGUGGGUGUGUGUGAUGCUCUUGUACUCGAGUGGGUCUAUCUUGACUCGUGUACUCUUUUUCUACCUUAAUAUAAUGAAAUGAUACAUAGCUCUCCUGCUUAGUUCGAGAAAAAACAAAAGAAAGAACAAAAGAACAUGUAAGGCUCUUCUUUGUGGAAUCUAAUCAUGGUUUAUCUUCAUUGGAUUUGAGUUAACAUUUCUAACUAAAACUCUUCUGUAUGUAAACUCUUUUGUUUCCCAAACAUAUCAUGAAACCCUUAACAAACUUGAAAUCAUUGUUCGGUAACAAAAGGUAUAUGUACUGAUCAUGUCUACGUAAACAUGAGAGGGUGGCUAACUAACAAUUUUUUUAUUUUAUAACGAAGUGCAAUCUACCAGAAGAGAAUUUUAUUACUUGUGCUACCAAGAAGCAAAAACCAUAUCCUUUUCUACAUUGAAGAAACUUACCAAUAGGCAUCAUUAGCUAAUGACUAAACUUGCGUAAUUCACAACAAUUUGUAACGCUCCGUGCCAAGGAACAUCGGAAGUAUUAGUACUGUUGUUUGUUAUAACAGAGUGGAGUAAACAUUUAAUCAGAUCGCCUACGGUUUUUUUACAAUUUUGGUUAAGAGAUCGAAAAAAAAAAGUAAAGCGAUCGCCGAAAAAAAAGUUCAGAGAUCGAAAAGGCAGGAGGCCAGGAAAACUGAAAAGAGCGAGUGAACGUAAGCAAAGCGAGAGCACGCACAUCUCGAAGGCCUCGCUGAGAUCGAGCGUGGCGGCCAUGGCCUCCUCGUGGGUGGGCACGGGGCCGAACACCUCGCGGUCCGGGAUGACCCAGUCGUCCGCUACCAACGUGGACGCCUUCCGGUUGUCGGCGGCCGACGAGGAAGAGGAGGAGUUGGACGACGGGAUGACGGCACGCCGCAUGUACGCGGCGGAGCGGUAGCCGCCGAUCAUCGCGGCCUUGGCGGCCGCGCGGAUGCUUCCCCCGACCAUGGCCGGUAGCUGGUGGUGGCUUUGCUUCGCCGCGAGAGAGAUCGCCCCUCGUGCGCCCUAACCAAACGAACCAGCGAAGGCGAGGGAAGGGGUCGGGAAGUCUGUUGGGCGAGAUAUUUAUUAUGGCAUCUGUAAAAUAAUAAAAGGAAAAAAAUCGUAGAAUGACCAGAGAGAGAGAGUGAGAGAGAAUUUUCUCGGGAAAUAAAUAAAAACAGUUGGAGAUAAAUACUCCUACUAAAACAGGAGGUUUAAAAAUUUUCAUUUUGUUCCCUGAUGAAACGGCGAGCGAAAAAUCAUGUGUGGACCCGUGUGGUGUUUUUGUUGCGGCGCUAGACACGUGUCGCGCCCGGGGGCCGUCCUCAUAUCUUACGGCGUUGUUGUCUUCUGGAGUUGACGUGCGGGGGCCGUUGACUGCGAACCGAUCACGUAGCUAAUCAGCUGACUGCAAGUUCGCAACGGAUUCGAUCAGAUCUCGCCCGUCGCCAAUCCUGGACUUCGUGAUCUCCUUGAUUUGAACUAGGGGGUGUUCGGAUCCCCAAGUUAAACUUUAGCCAUUGUCACAUCAAAUAUUUAGAUACUAGUUAAGAGUAUUAAAUAUAGACUAUUUAAAAAAUUCAUUGCACAGAUGGAGACUAAACGGCGAGACGAAUCUAUUAAACCUAAUUAACAAUACGCUGCUAAUUAGGUUUAAUAGAUUCGUCUCGCCGUUUAGUCUUCAUCUGUGUAAUUAGUUUUAUAAUUAACUUAUAUUUAAUCCUCCUAAUUAACAUCCAAACAUUCGAUGUGACACGGACUAAACUAUUAACUCAGAAUCCAAAUACCCCUACGAUCGCCUUUCUGGCGAAACACCCCUACGGAUAAGAACAGCUCCAUCGCCUUUCUGGCGUCGGCAGCCAUGGACGGUAUACAAAAAGAAACGCAAAAUGUUUCGUAUGUUUUUGCAAAUUAUAAUUCAGAGAUGCACAAAGGAUGCGUCUGGGUGACAGAACUACAAGAAUUACCAGAUCCACAGCGCAUUGCUCAAAUAGGGAAGGCGCUGCACCAGCUCCACAGCCAUCAACACAAAUUUCAAACGAGACCACGGAAAACGAUACUAAGACAGUAAGACGAGUAACACCGAAGGUGCAGCCAGACUAUUCUGAAACUAAGACGAGUGGAUCAAACACCACAGCUCGCCCAAAAGGCCACAUACUUUUAUCUGAUUUUUAGUCCAAACUCAACUGCACAUUUACAGACUCUGCAUCUACAUCUGAUCUAUACAACGCAGCCCAAUGUGUCAAAUGUCAAUACUUUGAUAGUAUCUAUCAAUGUAACGGUGUAUAAGAACUUCAACUGUUUUAAGAAACUUUGAGCUUUCAUGAAUCCCUCCACCCCUCGGGGAGACGCCACUGCUUGUGCCAGUAAAUGGACACUCGGGACCAGAGAGGGAACAUGAAGCUGUAAUCUGCAGCUUCAUCAGGGACUCCCCCUAUCGUCAGAGGUAGCCAGACGUACCGAGAAUCUCUCAGGUCGGACGGGUUCCACCGAUCAGCCAUGAAGAUGAAUGAACCUGGUAGUCCUGGAACUGGCAGCACGAAUGUGCUCUGGGAGAAGAAUGUUGUUGAUCUGAAGACCUCAUUUCCUCCCACGCAGGGGUUCCCUAGUGUUUCCCAAGGUCCCAUUACUGAAGUUGCAGCGUGAGCCAGUGCAGUGUUUGGCGCCCAGCCUGUGCAGCCAGAGGUUACCAUAUAGUAGGUGCCUUCGUGCUUGAAAAGCGCAGGAGCUUCUCGGUGCUGUGCAAUGAGAAACCUCCGCAUAACAUCAGUGACAUCAAGGUAGUCAUCUGUUAGCGGACCGAUGUGGAGCUCACUGUUGUCCUCAGAAGAGUAUAUCAGGUAGGCCUUCCCAUCAUCAUCCUUGAAUAUGGUCAUGUCUCUACUUUCGUAGUCAUGUGGGCGCUUGCUGUAGAGAUAAGUGAAUGGACCAGUUGGGGAAUCACUGACAGCCACACCAACUGAAGCUUUAGUGUAGUUAGCAUCAUCUAUGUGCAUCCACAUCACAUAUUUGCCAGUCCAGUCAUUGUAUAUCACCUUGGGCCUCUCUAGGACAUUGGAUUUGUGGAGAUCAUGUGUUACAUUCUUUUCCUCACCACGGAGGACAACUCCUUCAUUUUUCCACGUCCAUAGGUCCUUUGAAGAAUAGCAACUUACUCCAACGAUGUCAACCUGGAAAAUUACUUGUCCUAGUUAGUGGUUAGAGAUGAUAAAGACACUGCUAAAGAGGAAAGUGGGCAAAACAGACAAUCACUUGAAGUACUAAUAAAGUAACAGUAGUUGCAUCUAUAAAGUUCUGUUGCUGAAACAUCACUUCAGUUUGUCAGUAGCAUAGUACAUAGUUCUGUGUUUUUGGUUAUUGCAAAAUUUAGUGAACUCUAAUGGUUGCCACAGGCCCACAGUCCACCCAAAGUUGGUAUUCAUUACAUUAGAAUAAUCAAGUCGAAGUCUAUCCAGGGAAUCCUUACUGAACUAAGAAAUGCCUCCACCAAUUCAUAGUAACCACCAAAUAUUUUUUUUGCUGUCUAGAAGAGGUCAUUAGUACAAAAUAGAAAUUAAAAGGCAUUUCCUGGUUGUUGGUAGCAUCAUAUGCUUUUACCCUAUCACAGACACUUUAGAUUGAACCAAUGAUAGAACUGCAAUCAUACAGGACACUGCACCUCCCAAUACAUUGACAUUGCCAUUGCCGUUGGUGUGAACAUAUAUUGGGUAUGAAAGAACUGCAAUCACACUGGCAUAACGCACUUCCCAAAUAUAUCGCAAUUGGUGUGCAUAUCUAAUGGGAUGCACGCACGCAUGUGUGUCUAAUUUAUUAUCUGAAGCUUAAGUUCUUUUUUCAGUUCUGAUAAAAUAAAAGCUAUUAGCUUGCUACUUGCAUGACAACAGCCUGCAACGCAAGGUAAUUCUUCCUUUGGUAUUAUGUGAACCCGAACCCAAAUCUACUUCUAUUUCAUUGAUGCAAUUUGCCAUACUAUGAUUCAAAACCACUAGAAUAUAAUGAAUAUAAGUUUGUGGGCAAGGAAAAUUUUGGAGCCCAGACCAAUUUCAUAUGAAUAAACUGUUUAAAUUGUUACUAGCUUUUCAUCUCUACACACCAAGUGAUCCGUCUUGAACAAGCCCAGUCAAUUUUCUUACCUUCCCAACAGAUCAUAACUUCCAACAUGUUCCCUAGCAAUUUGGCCUCACCAACAGAAUCUAAAAGGUCUGUAAAAUUAGAUGUAUGCAUUAGCACACACUGCUACACAUGUACUGAAAUGUUCAGUCACAUUUAGAGAAACUAAACUUUCUCUUGGAAAAUAGUAUUUUUAGGUGUUGUACAUAGUAGUUUUUAAGUUUUAGCAAUUUCUAUGAUGGUUUAUUAAAAAGAAAAAAUUACUCCAAUGAUAUGAUUAGUUAAUCUUGGAGCAAGGCAUUGGUUUAGGAUAAUGCUGCAACAAAUUCCUACAAGAAAGUUCUAAAAUGGGGGGAAGUUGAUGUUUCCCCAUCAUUGUUCUUCACAUUUCUAGCACCAGUGCAUCUACAUGAGCCUGCUCUGAUCAAGUGCGGUGCGUGAAAAAAGAAACUCAAUCGAUUUGGUUUCUACAUGUACUAUCUGCCGCAACUCUAAAAAAGUAAAAAUAGAGUGUGAAGUACAGUGUAUACAAUCUGGUAUAAAUCUCACGCAAUCACAUUCGCCUAUGUGGGAGCUAGUACCUUUGAGUUUUACAGAGGAAUGUGACAUUAGUUGAAACAUUUGAAUUAAGUGCUUCUGCAGCCACAUACCACAAGUCUCUGAACAUAAAUGGUGUUAACAGCAUCAGAAUAGUACAACUCACCCGGUCUGCUCCCUUGCUGUGAGCUUUGUAGGUUUUGCCAUCCUUAUUUUCCCCAUACCAGAAAUAGGUCUUGGUCUUCUUGUCAUACAGUACACCUCCUCCGUGGGCUUGGAUAGGUUUGCCAUCAGUAUCAAGCCAAACUCUCCCUGGGUAAUAGAAGUACAUGCUGUCAUUCCGACCAUUGAUUGGAUCUACAGCCAUGUUCGAUUCUGGGAAGAACAUAUCAUGCACUGCAGAAGAUUCAUCCAAGAACUCAUCCACUACUGUAGGUGGCUUCCUCUCGCCCUUGCGCCGCACAGCCCGGGGAUUCCUUCGGCUCCGGGGAGGCGAUAACCGGAACUUCUCCUCCUCCACUGCUUCCAGUUCCCUCAUAAUCGAUCGACGGAUCUCAUGUGUACUCAUACUCUCAUCCUCCUCCUUAUGAAUGAUGAUAAGAUGGAAAUUCACAACGACAACCAGCGCUGCUAGGCUCCACAAUACCAGGGUUAAGGACCUGUGGCUUGCCGGAUAGCAGCGGAGACCUAACGCCUUUGGGUGCCUGCUCCUCAUACCCAUGGCGCCCCUUAUCUACUCCAGCUGACACGCGCUGCAGCCAAAAUGAAACGAAUUGAGCCCAAAAAGUGCAAAAAUUAGACGGCAAAUUUGUAGCUGUUGGAAUUUCUGGAAAUAACGGGAUGAUCUGCAUGUCAAAUUAAGAAAGGCACAGUAGCAGCAAAUGAAAUUGGGAGCUGGAAACUCCCCAGGAAAGAAACAGUUUAUUAGCAACAUUUAACCAACCAGAUUUCAUUCCUGAAUUAACGUCGCCCUACACUCAAAUCAGGGAGCUACCAAGCAGAAACCAGCAAGCAAACUCAACAGCUUAUCAUUGCCUAACCACCCGCUCCAUCACAGCCACAACAAAUGGAGCAACCGGAACUGGAGAGCUGGAGAACCUCCAGCAACACAGCUCAAGCUCAGCCGUAGAUUCGUAACAAGGCCAAAGAAUUCAGCAAGAAUCGGACAUACCUUGCAAGCAACGAUAAAAAUGAAAAAACGAAAAAAAAAGAAAGAGAAAAGGCGAUGCUCACCAUGGUAGGUUGAUCCAGAGAAUCGAAGAGGACAAAUCAAAAGCUCAACUAAACUAAAACCAAACCCAGUCCCAUCAGGUGAGUACCUGCUACCAGCUAGCAUAGCAGUAGAGUAACACAAUCUGACCAGCUAAUAUAAAAAUCGGCGGCGCAGCUCACCAUGGGCUAGUCCUGUCGAGAUCUUGGCGAGAGAUGGUUGGGGGCGCCCCGAUUAGCUUAGCACGAGCCGCGAUCCCAGGGGAGAUUAGGGGGCUGUCUUGGCUUGAGCGGCUGGCAACGCGGCCUGAUGAGAGUGAUUUGGUGUGGUAGCGUAUGGCUGGCUGGCCUCCCUCGCGGACAGCGAACUGCGGCGUCGCUCUGGAAAGGUCGCCCGUCACAUUGUGGUGGGUACGGCGUGGGGGCGUGUGAGUGAGGGUAGUAGAUUGGAGGGGCGCCCGGACACCUGGCCUGUGUGCGCGCGGCGUUGCCUGCGGUUGGGGCAGGAGGCGGAUGACGGAUGGUCUUCUGCGGCAGGUGGCCGCCGUGCUUGUUGCGUCGGGCUGUCUAUUCCUCUCCGCCCUUGUGGUUGGGGUGCUGAACGCCUGAACUUGCUGAGUGCUGAGCAUCUCCAGCACACUCCAAAUUGCAUCCUUCAUGCCUUAAGCUACUCCUAAUGGCAGUUUUAUUUUUAAUUAAGAAGUUGCCAUAUAAGCAAAGAGGAUACUGUAAGCAAGUUUCAUCUAGAUAUUUUCCAAUUUUUUUUAAAAUCUCGUCAUCCUUCCUUAUAACUAUGGAUAUGGGUUUCUUUCCUGCGAUAAAGUGGCCAACCAUCUUUAUUUUUCUCCCAUGUAUCCAUAAAACAAUGUCAUGAACGCAAGUAUUAGCCUUAGUUUGGCCAUCUACUCUAAAAAAAUUCUCUCCAUAUUGUCGGCACUUUAGCUGACUAGUCAAAUUUCACAAUCCAAAUCUUAUUGAACUAUACUUUAUUUGUAUUGAAGUUGUUGUGAUGGCUAUACUGAAACUACUAUUUAUCUGUGACAGCUCUAGUAUGAAUAGUUUCAAUCCUGUAUUUCAACGGCUAUACUCCAAUGGCUAAAUUUCUCCCGUCUAUGCAUGCACGGCCAUUUCCCAUGAUUCACCCACAUCAUUCUCGCUCUUCCUAUCUGCUCGCUCCUCUACCAAGUCACCUUCACACUUGGACUCCCGACGACGAAUCCAUUCUUGCUGCAACACACCAAGCAUACCGACAGCACCAGCUUAGAGAUGCUCCACGCCAUGGUGUCUUUCGAGCUACAGUUUUUGGGCAAAAAAUAAAAGGACGAUUAAACAUUUUUGCCAAAUUCAAUGUGGCGUACUCUCUCCGUCCAAAAAAAAUGCAAAUCUUACUUCCCGAGGAGUCAAACAGUUCCAAGCUUGAUCAAAUUUAUACAAAAAUGUAGUAACAUUCACGUCUCCAAAUAGAUUUAGUAUGAAAAUAUAUUACAUGAUUAAUCUAUUAAUAUUUAUUUUGUACCAUAAAUGUUAGUACUAUUUUAUAUAAAUUUGAUUAAUUUUGAAAUUAGUUGACUCCUCGAGAAGCGAUAGUUGCAUUCUUUUUUAGGACGGAGGGAGCAUGUCGUUCAAGCAGUCGUUACUUUGCUCCCCUCCCUUGAACCCCUACAAGCAAAUCACGACUCAAUAUUGUCAAGUUAGGUGGACAAAAUGUGCACAUGAUCGAACUGGCUCGAGCACAUCGCGAAGCACGCUGAAUGAGUAGAGCCCGAGGUGGUGGCGAAGGCCGUAGCACGUGAAGCCAUUUUCGUUCCAGAUAGCAUAUCCGUGCGACGAGAUACGGGCGGCUGUCAACAGCCAACACCCAGCGCUGGGCCUCCCGUACUCCAUCCAAUUCACGGACAAGGACGGCCUGCACUGCACGUGGCCGUGCACGCAGGCCUGACCGCCUGAGGGGGGUUGGGCGGAUGGGAAACGCCCGGACGUACGUACGCUUGCUCGCCGGAUUCUGUGUACAAGCUGUGCACCACUCCAGGACAGGUUGUGGUCCAUGCAGCCUCGCAGGUACAGAUCUCUCGUGUCCGUGCCUGUUUGGGAUACCAUCAUUGGUACUACCACACGGUGGUAGAGCAAGAGGAGAGUACGUACGUGCGCCCGUCGCAGCUUGGUGCCGAAGACGGGAAGGGGGUUCCCCGUAUGGCAGGCGAACCAGGCCCUCAGGAUGCAGCCUUAGGCUAUCGCACCGCACGGCAGCUAAAUACACCUGUACAAAGGUAUGGUCCACAUGACAGUUUUAUUAUAGAGAUCAGUAAACUGAAAAUGCUGCCGUGCAGACGCCUCUAUUCCGAUCCCCAAAUCAACCGCCACACGCUUCUUUCUCUUUCUUUUUCCUCCAGCAAAUAGAGCAGUCCCCCCGCAGACCGAUUCCUCACUACUCCGGCCACCAUUACCAAAUAGCCGCCGGUCGAGCCUAACCCACCUCCCAACCUCCACCUGCCGCCACCCCUUGGCACCGGCCAUGGCCCCUCCGGCCGGGGAUUGAAGAAAUCCCCGCCGCUUGUCCCGCCGACCGCCAAGCUUACCCUCGCCUUCGAACCCCUAUGUCUUGGCCUCUACUUCCACCACUGACCUGCAAAACGGAGGGGAUGGAAGUGGAGGCCACCGUCGCGCACCUCCGCGGAGGGGAUGGAGGCGGAGGCCGCGCCAAGCGGCGGGUGGUGGCCGGCGGCCCGGAGGCGCGGGGCUAUACGUGGGCACCCGGCGGGCGGCGUCGCGGCUCCCCGUGGCCCUCGCCACGCCGCCGUGACCCGGCCAACGAUGGCUCGCGGAGCUCAUGGCGGCUCGCCCGCAGUUGUUGCCGAGCUCCAGUUUCUCUAGGAUGGCGCAAGAGAGAGCGUGGAGAGGAUAGCGUUCGUCUCGGAAGCCUCUGGGUUUGAAGGUGCCCUGUAGCAAACGGAGGGGUUGGGGUUGUGAUAGAGGUGUGCGGUGCGGGACUCUAGCCGGUAAAUUUGCAAUUCAAGUCCAGUUAAAAGGUGUGCGGUGCAGAUAGCCUUAGGUUGAUUGGUUGCCUACACUAGACUCCUCGAGUUUGGCUACCGAAAUGAGCCAGGCUCGCACGGUGCAGCAGUGAGUCCUCGGAAGGUGCGUAUAGAUACAAGAAAAGUAGUUGGGCACUGGUUAACCAAGCAACCAAUCAAGUUCUUUAGCUAGCAGUUGCAUGGGGAGAGCCUGGCUGCCGGGAUUCUGCAUGCCUGCCUGAUAUGAGCCAAGCUCCGCCGAUCCUGAAACCAAUUAGACCCUUGCGGGCUGAGGGAGUGGGACCGUGGGAGGAAGUCAACACUGCGAACUUUUGAGUUUUGGGAGGCGAUUGGUUGGCUGCAGCAGCCUUCGGGCCAGGCUCUUGAGAUGCAGCCUGAGGGUCACCUGAGCCUAGGUCGGCGCAUGCAAAAAGCAACCACGAGCCUGGCUCUCGGGAAAUGCAAAUGAAGUCCUGUUUUCCGCGGGCCAGGCUCGCCCGAUGCAGGUGCGCGCUAGCUAAUGACGGUAUUAAGUAGGUGAUUAGCGUGUAUUAAGUGAUAUUAGCGUUUUCUAAAGAUGAUUAGGGACAUGUUCGCUUCAGCUUAUAAGCUGGCUGAAAAGUUGAAACGGCUGAUUUGUUGUGAGAGAAAAACACUGUUUGGUGGCUGAUAAACCGACUGAAUAAGCUGAAGCGAACAGGCCCUAGUAUAUUUAUGCAACAUAAACAUCACAAGGGUACUCAAUUAUAAUAUUUUAUCUCAUGUGAUGUAUCCUUAUACAAGCAACCAAACAACUUCUAUUCAUAAUAUUCAUAAUCUGACUGGAUAAAUACACGCCACCUAUCAAACUGGUAUCGCAUCCGCUGAGCUUGGCCUCUGCGAGAGCUAGAUUCCCAGAUACGAGCCUGGCUAGGCUCGUCGGGAAACCAAUCACCCCUUUGGUGGUUGGGCACACGUUGCACGAACGGCAUUGCCGAAGAGCUACUGUACUUGCGCUGGCCCGUUGAUGACUGCCCGCCUGCCCAUGCGUCCAGCUGCUCUCUCCAACUACUCCCACGAUUCCAGCGGAACACACAACUCAGGGCAGCAAAAACACGAUGGGCGGCAGGCAAACACCACGAGAUACUGAAGAAGAUCCGGCAAAUCCAUCCCCUCAAAAAGAAAGAAGAAGAAGAUCCGGCAGAGAAGCCCUCACUAACCCAACAAGUAGCCAGCCCAUCGGGCCCAAACCACUGAGCACUCGUCGUCCUUCUGGCUUCAUAGGCCCACUUCAAACGCUAGCACACAACGACGAUUAGCCCAGGACCGCAGGUCCCCAUCGAACUCCCGAAAAAACAGGGCGCCCCGAAAAAACAGGUCAGGUCAGCUCCGGAUGGAUAGACGCUACCAGAGAUCAGUCCACCCAUCAGUUGGAAUCCCGUUGGCGAGGGGAGCGGAUACCGGAACGGAACGGCACUCGUGGUUGGCCGCCCUAGCACCAGCGCCCACGCGAGGCCGUAUGAUUGGCGAGCCGGACGCCAAUAAUACCCCCCCUCCCUCCCUCCUAUCUCGCCUCGCCUCAUCGCCGCAGCUGGCUCGCUCGCUCGCUCCCUCGCUCGCGGUCGCGGCGUCCUCCCCUCCCCGUCAGGCCGUCACCCCGCCCCAUCCACGCCGCGUCGCCCUCCGCCUCCAAAUAAAGUAAACGCGGGGGGUGACAGGGAGGCCACCACCGAAUCCUCCUCCUCCGCCGCGCCCGCUCGCUCUUAACCCGUCGCCGCCCCCCGCUCGAUCCCCUCCGCCUUCUUCGCCGCCACCGGGCCUGCCUCCCUCCCUCCUCUCUUGUUCGCGGGGGGUCAGGGAGAGGAGAAGGGGAGCCGGGCGCCAUGGGGUUCUGGGAGGCCUUCCUCAACUGGCUCCGCAGGUAUAUAAUACGCUCUUGGGCUGCUCCGUCGUGCCUCGUGUCUCGCGGGUUUGAUCUGCUGCGCAUUGCGGCUGCCGGGGUGCGGGGAUCGGUGUCUAGGAGAUCUGGGAGUUCUUCUGGUUUGGUCAUGAUUGGUUGGGAUAGUUACGGAGGCUACGAUACGAAGUUGUAGGUUGCUGGUGGAGAGCUUCUGAUAUGUAGCGAAUGUGAUUGGUGCAGCGUGAUCCUAUUAGGGAAGGAAUUGGGUUCUUAUGGUUGGUUUCUGCUUCAUAUUUUGGAGCUUUGCGGGUAACUGCCGUAUGACCAUCAAGCUAGCAUACCAAUCAAGUUUAAUUAAGCUAUCCUCUCAACAGAAUAUGUUUUAAUUGAACAUGCUGGCCAAAAUCAACCAUUAUCGGUGGGAUUGCAAGACAUAAAACUUGUGAAGAUCACUCUUUCCAAAACGAAAACGGGAGGAUUUAUUCAGUGUUGAUUGUCGUGUUCCGCAAUGUCUUGUUAUUCUGCAAUUCGCGUUUUUUUUUGUUAUAGUUCGCUAUCAUGGAUUCCAUAUUACACAGAAGUAUCAAUAUCAGUUACGCUAGUAAAAGUUCUUUGGAUGUCACUCCAUACUUGAACUGAAGCUGGUAGUUAUUUGCUGUACUUCAAUCAUUGGCAUAUAGUAUAGCUGCCAGUAGACUAUAAUUUAUUUCUUCUCUACCUACCAGACAGGUAGGCUUUGAACUGGAUACAUAAAAAUACAAAAGAGCUUCAAUUCUAAGAAUGUCUUGCACAUGCACUUGUUGGGUGGUGGAGCAUUACUUUGACAUAUUUGAUUAUAUGAUCCAGUUUCCAAGUAAAAGGAUGAACUGAUGUAAUCUGCCAUUUGUUUUGCUCGAUGGGCUUGGCUGCUUGAAUAACGGUUUUCUGCUUUCUUACAUCUGCAGCCUCUUCUUCAAGCAAGAGAUGGAGCUUUCCUUGAUAGGGCUCCAAAAUGCCGGAAAAACAUCACUUGUCAAUGUUAUUGCUGUAAGUAUCAGUCACACUUUUGGUACCACUCAUAUACUGGAUGCCUGAUGAAAUAUAUUUAUCAUGGGUCAACUUUUUUUUUUCAGACCGGAGGCUUUAGUGAGGAUAUGAUUCCUACUGUAGGAUUCAAUAUGAGAAAGGUAACCAAAGGAAAUGUCACAAUAAAAUUGUGGGAUCUUGGAGGCCAGCCAAGAUUCCGGAGCAUGUGGGAGAGAUACUGCCGUGCAGUUUCUGCAAUUGUGUAUGUCUUUCAUGUCUAAUCUGACACUUACAGUAAGAAUAGCACUAAUGCUCACUAGCUGUCAUGAUUUAGUUGUGGCUUGUUGCGCAUGUCUAUUAUUUUGGAAGACCGUGUUCAUAUCAUUUUGAUAGUUUGAUUUAUGUACAAAGUCUUUCUCAACUAUCCUACUGUUCUUUUGGCUUAUAUUUUAUUUUCCUUUUUGUGAUCAGGACAAGUGUUAGCUUGCUUAUACCAGUUUAUGUCUUAGUUGUCCUGGUGAUGCCUUGCUUAUAUGUUUGUAUUUAUGUUAUUUUGAUUUUUUAAUAAUGAUGAUAUUCUUUAUCCUGUUACCUGUUUUCCCCCAAAUUUGCUUUGUUGUGUAUGAUGGUGGUGGGUGCAUUGUUUAUUUCUAUCUUUUUGCUCGUUUUCUUGAUAUUGAUGAAGCACUUUUUAUUUUUCUGACUUUCUGUUAUCUUUGCUUAAAUAAUGAGCUGGAACUUGCACCAGCUGUAUGGUUUUUUAUUCUGAUUUACUUCCACAGGUUUUCUAUUUAAUAACUAGCUGCAUUGAAACUGGUGCAUGAUUUUUUUUCUGGAUGUCAGAGUUGAAUCAAUAGGGAAUGAGCUUCUAGUGUUGGAUGUUUAUAUUGUUUUGGUUGUGCAGUUAUGUUGUUGACGCAGCAGAUAGAGAAAACAUGGCCAUUGCAAAAGGUGAGCUCCAUGACCUCCUGAGCAAGCCAUCUUUGACUGGAAUCCCAUUACUAGUCAUUGGCAAUAAAAUUGACAAGCCUGAAGCUUUCCCUAAGCAAAGCUUCACAGAAGUCAUGUAAGUGCAUGCUAAGCUACUGCGGUCCGUUACAAUUCCCCACCAUAAAUAUCUGUUUGAUACAUUUUACUCAUCUGCUGUGUUACUAAUGGUAUUGCAGGGGCCUAAAGACAAUCACUGACCGAGAAGUGGCAUGCUUCAUGAUAUCGUGCAAGAACUCGACCAACAUUGAUUCUGUCAUCGACUGGCUGGUGAAGCACUCGAAAAAGAAGAAUUGAUCUAAAUCUGUAACUCUUGAAGCGUGCUCCAGUUUCUCUCUUUUUGCAUGUCGCGUAGCAUUGGGGCUGUAAAUUAUGCAAGAGGUAUUAAUUAGGGAUGCUGUGUUCAUAAUUUUGUUAACCUGGUUUGGCAAUAUGUUGGUAGGCCGCGUCUGGUAUUGUGCACGCGCGUGCUCUGUUACAACUUACAGGAGGCUGCUCUCUGUGUUCCAUACUUGCUUGGUCAAUUUGAGCUGUGUGAUUUGUUUCACUUUGUUUGAUCAAACAAAAAUGAAAUCAAGUGUCACUGCGUGCAAAUGAACGUUCCUGGAAAAACAAAUGUGGUUAAGUAAAUAAAUGAUCCACCAGACGAAUCUGUGCAAGGGAUCUGCUAGUUGUUUUGAAAUGUGAAAUACAUAUAUCACGAGAUAUGGGAUGGGAAAUUGAUUAGGUAGCUUUUGAAAUAGAGAAAAAGGUACUUUUUAGAGGUUCCAAAUCUUAGGGGGUGUUUGGAUCUUUAAUCCAGAUUAAAAUUUAUGUCACAUCAAAUAUUCAGAGGCUAAUUAGAAGGACCAAACAUGAGUUAAUUAUAAAACUAAUUACACAGAUGGAGGCUAAUUCCCAAGACGAAUCUAUUAAGCCUAAUCCAUCAUUUGCACAUAUUUACUGUAGCACCACAUUGUCAAAUCAUGGACUAAUUAGGCUUAAUAGAUUUGUCUCGCAAAUUAGCCUCCAUCUGUGCAAUUGGUUUUGUAAUUAGUCUAUGUUUAAUAUUUAUCUAAACAUUCGAUGCGACAGAAAUUUUAGGAGUGGCUAAAGAAACAAACGGGUCAAAGGCUUCGUGGCACUCUCUUCAGAGUUAUCUCCUUAAAGUUUUUAUUUUUUGUUAUCUCCUUGAAGUUUUUAUUUUAUUUUAUUUUUGUUUUUCCGAGCGCUCUAUGUAAAGUUGUAAACAGCCAAUAGUGCAACAUUCUGUUCCAGCCUUUUGUAGCUCUCUCUUUUGUGCUUGGAUUCACAUACUUAUAAUAAGUAAAAUCAUAUGCUACCCUUUGUUUGAUCGAGUUCAAACUACUUUUGUCAAUCCAAAUCUUGGUUUGGAAUUAAGGCCCAAACAAACAUAUGGCACAUAUACGAACAAAUGAAAAAGAUCGUAAUAAUGUUCAUCAACAGUAAACAUUUACAUUUUCGAAUUCCAACCCAAGAAAAUGCAAACUUGCCCAGUUGGCCUAUGCGCUGAUGCUGCCCUCUCUGAGUCGACCUGUCCUGAAGUCCAAACUCCAAACCCCUGACCCUCUCUGACCUCGGAGAUGGCGGCGUCGCUCUCCAAGCACCUCCUCUUCCGCCUGCGCGGAGGCGGCGGCGAGCAACGCCUCCUCCUCUCUCGCGCCUCCACUUCACACGCCUCAUCACCCGCGCCUCCUCCGCCCCCUCCUCCUCCAGGCGCGGCCGCGCCGCCGCCCCCAGGUAUCCAUCUAUCCUAACCGUCAUCAUCUUGCGAAAUGCCUUGCGAAUCAUCCGCAAAUCUGUUCGUGUUCCACGCACAGGGGCAGGGAAGGAGGCCAGCGCGUGGUCCAAGCUCUUCCUCUUCGCUCCCGGCGCCAUCACCUUCGGCCUCGGCACAUGGCAGCUCUUCCGGAGGCAGGAGAAGGUCACACUCGCACACGCGCUCGUUACUCUAUGCUUGGUUUUGUUGGCCGACGAGACCUCACCGUUUGGUGUUUCCUGCUCGACCUCAGAUAGAGAUGCUGGAUUACAGGACGCGGAGGCUGGAGAUGGAACCCGUGGCGUGGAACGAGGUGGCCUCGACCGGCGCCCUGCGUGAUCCAGACGCGCUGGAGUUCCGGAAGAUCGUAUGCGAGGGCGAUUUCGACGAGGAGAAGUCGGUGUUCGUCGGACCUCGCUCCCGGAGCAUCUCUGGUGUGACGGAGAAUGGGUAUUAUGUGAUCACUCCGUUGAUUCCUAGGUCGACUGAGCCUGGCAGGUAAGUUACUUCGAAAUGCUGAAUCGCAAUUCCUAUUUUCCAGAUUACCUUGAGAACCAUCCUUGCAGUCUUGCAAGGAAAUUAUCACUACAAUUGAGCUUGAUACCCUUUAUUUUAGCUGGGAAGUUCUUGUGGAAAGCUACUACAAUGAAAAUGGCUGAUAUUUGUAAUUGUAAACUAUGAAAGCCUGUCUGUGCUCAAAUUGGAAAAUGAUGAUUUAGUCUAGUAAGAAUUAAGUUAAGAAUUUUUUUCAAAAGGCCAAAAGGGAUGAAGGAAAAGAUGAUCCAAUGUCAGAUCAGAUGUGAAACAGCUAGGAAUACACGUCUUAUGUUAGGGCAAAACCAAAACAAUUAAGUUGGUGGAAGAUGCUUAAGCUGGCAGUGAUUGCAAUUCCUUUCAUUUUAAACUGGCUUGUGUAUAUGCCCCCCAUUGCCUUUCCAUGGAAACUGAAAUCUUCAACUGGAUAUGAAUGAAUUGAAAAGUAAUGUAAUUAUCUUCAUUGAAAAUUUGAAAAGCUUGCCUGCAUUCGAGUACUCCUGUGUUAUCUUUUCAUGUAUUGGUAACUGAACUAAAAUUUGAGAGAUAUAGUGGAUUGUAAAACGUGUUUGGCAUCGAUCCUGCAGAUUUGCAGUUUUGUUGCAACGAUAGGUGAUGUAUGUGUGCUAUGGGGGUGGGGUGCACUCUUCAGAUUUAAUUUGUAUUUGUCCACAGAGAAGAUCCCUACCCAAGUAAUAAUCUCAAAAGACAUAAUUUGUUAAAUUAUGCAUGAAGCCCAUAAUUGAGUGAUCAUACCUCGUGCUGUCUGAUAGCUCAUCGUUCUUGGCCAGCACAAAUUUAUGGGUGACCAGGAUGCAAGUUGUUGCUAUGCCUGUUUUGACUUUAUCUCCCACAUAUUCCUGUGCUAGAAAGCUGAUGGCUCCACGUCUCCACCUGUCAACUAGAAAUUUAAAACCAACCAUAGUAUUUUACAGGUUCUCUUUAUCUAGUCAUUUAUCUUUCUAAGAAAUGGUUUGUCAGUUUGCAGUCACCUAUCCUUGUGAAUAGAGGAUGGGUUCCUCGUGGAUGGCGCUAUAAAAAUGUUAAGGAUCACCAAAUCCUGCAUGAAGCUUCAGAACCAAAAGCUGUUAAACAGCCAGAUGGAAAAAGUUCGUGGUGGAAGUUCUGGUCUAAUGAGCCUAAAUCGUCUCCUGAGGUGACGUUUGUUCCCAGUCUUUUGCUUAGCUUCCAAUCUGUUGCCUAAAAUUCUAAAUGCAUGAGAUUGUGAAUUUGCUCAUCGAAUUAGAUUAGCAUGUCUUUUGUGAGUGUUUCUAUAAUGUUAUAUUUUGCGUGCCAUGAUAUGUCAACUCCUUGUACUGUUGUACAUGCUAAUGCUGUGGCAGCAAUUUACCAAAUAAGUUAUAUUCUAGUUGUUGUUUUUACUAGAUCUGCUUUAGAUCAUUUGUGGCUUCUAGAGUGAUAAAUGGUAUGGAAUGUAGGCUGGUUGUUGGGGGUCUGUGGCAAUUGAAUCAAGAUCAUGUUGCCAUAAGUACUAUACCUGCUUUAGAUCAAAGUAUCCAUAUCCCUUGAGUUGUAUUUGUAUUGCUUCAGUUAGGCACAAAAUUUAUGCAAAGUACCUUUUGCAGAUUGAAAAACCUAGAGAACCUCCUGUAAGAGUUAUUGGAGUAAUCCGAGGAAGUGAGAAGCCAAGCAUAUUUGUUCCAGCAAAUGAGCCCAGUAGUGGCCAGUGGUUUUAUGUGGAUGUUCCCAUGAUUGCUCGUGCUUGUGGGCUUCCUGAAAAUACUGUUUAUAUAGAAGAUAUAAACGAAGACGUCUUGCCAACAAACCCUUAUCCUGUUCCAAAAGAUGUCAACACCUUGAUUCGUCACUCAGUGAUGCCAGAAGACCAUCUUAAAUACACUUUUACAUGGUAAGCACUUAACCCUUUGCAGUUGGAUUAUUUCAUUCUGUGUUAGUUUUAUUUUUUGACUGUUGGUACCAGUAGUUUCACUCAUCAUGAUAGAAACUAGUCUAUUGCUGCUAUUAUCUGGAUGUUUUGGACGGUAAUAUCUGACUUUAUCUGAUAUCUGCUACAAAUCCACACUAUCAUGGUUUGACAGUUCAUCACUGACGGACCAUGAUAGUUGGCAUCUUCUCAGUCAGAAAUAUUUGUGCUGAACAUAGAAAAAUCCUUUUUGUUGUAUAUUAUGCGGAGCUCAAAUACUGGGAUGAUUAACAUAACAUAGAAAAACCCUUUUCUGCUGCACGUUAUGUGCAGAUCAAAUACUGGAAUGAUUAAUGUAUUCAAAAAACAGCUUUACUUAGGUGGGCUUACUUUGUAUGAUUGGACAAUAGCCUUUUUCCCAUUGAAACAUUGCUUGUUGUACAUCACUCUGCAUUUAUAGUAGUAUAAUUUUUUCUGGAUUACACUUUACACAUUCUGUUAUGUUUGUGCAUCACAUAAUUGAAGCAAUGGGAUCUAGGAUAAGCCCAUGAAAUGCAACUGUGGGUAUCAUAAAUUGAGGCGUGAAAAUCUGUGAAUAAGGAAGGGAAUAAGGAUCUGGGGAGACACUGCAUCUGCAUGCUCACAUGCGAUGAGCUUGGAGGUAGCAUAUGUUGGUGCAUGGUGUUAAUUGAAUUCAGAAUUAGAUGACAUCAAAAUGUGAUGCUAACUCUGUAAAUGUGAUAAUCUCUUCCUUGUGGACACCUUAUUGCCACUUUAUAUGUUUUGUUUGUUGUUUUAGGUACACUCUUUCUGCUGCUGUGACUUACAUGGCUUCCAAGCGGAUAAAGGCUAAGAAGGUUAGGUUGUAACAGGAUUGGAGUCCACCAUAUACUUCGCACAUUGAAACCUAUCGCAGAUGCCCAAGCUUAUGCCUCUUUCAUCUCAAGCAAUAAGUAUAACAUUGCCCUCUUUUGUUUUAGUAUGUUGUACAUUGACUAGCAGUUUCUCCUGGUGGAGCUCAGAGGAUACAGCAAUUUUGUUAGCUUGAUUCCUGCUUCCUUGUAAAAUUUUUGUCAGGGAGCUUUCAUACAGGGUAGCCUUAUCUUCUUUUAGCAUUUUUGUAUGAUGAUUGCUUCACCCGAGAAAUUGUUGAACUGGGUUGUCUGACAUUGCAUUUUCCUUAGCUAGACUGGGCCGUUGCGGCCUUGCUGGCUUGCGUCGAGGUCACUAGCACCAAAAGGCUUUGUGCCCCUAUACUAGGAACAUCUGCUGAUGGGCUUCAUGGUGCUUUCACUAGCAGCUGAUUCUAAUGGCCACAAUCAUAUGAAGACCUAAAACGAGUUCGUAUCAUGUAUUUUCUUUUUCGAUUCAGUUUAUGUGUUCGUGCCUUAGCAUGUUUUCCCACCAUCUUAGUACUCCAUCAUUUGAAAUUGUCAGGCAAGCAAUGCACUUGUCCGGCAACAAUUUUUUGUUACGGCACGUUUGUAGAGGCUUGUGAUUUGUGAAAGCCAGUGUAUUGGAAAAUACAUUGGAGACAAAUUUAUAUGCUCAGUCAGUUUACUUUGUAUUAUUUCGUACUAGAGAGUAAGCCCUAGUUCCCUCCAAACUCCCAACUUUGACACUAUGCAAAAAGAAGAUUCCCCGUCACAUCAAACUUGCGGUAUAUGCAUGGAGUACUAAAUGUAGAUGAAAUCAAAAACUAAUUGCACAGUUUUGUUGUACUUUGCGAGACGAAUCUUUUGAGCCUAAUUAGUCAAUAUUUUGACAAUUUCACAAAUACAAACGAAACGCUACAGUUGUGCAUUUGUGGUAAAAUAUCAAUUUUGCCACUCCCAAAUUGGGAAUAAACAAGGCCUAACUGUGUUUAUCCUUUUAGACAAAAUGCCAGAGGGAAUAACUGUAGGCAUGCGAUGCUCGUGAGCUGUGAAUCUGUGAUGCUGUUUCCACUUCCACUUGUCCUCUUCUGACAUCGGUUGCCUGCUCUGGCUUGUUUUCACACAAGCAAGGCCGCCAGGGCAGUAGACUCCUCUCCAGUAGACAUACAGUGAAAUAACUAUGUCUCGGUAGGACUGAUCCAUCCACGUUCCAACGAGUCAGGCGCGAGUAAAUUCCCCUCAAGAGAAAGGCGUGAGUGUGAAUGGGGGAAAAGGGUUUGGAUUGCUCGUACAGUACCCUAACAGUGCGGCCUCUGACGAGAGCACGUCAGCAAUGCGUCGCAUGUGACGGUACCUUCCCCGGUUUGAUUGCCGGCCUUACACGGGCUCAGUACACGCCGUGCGGCUUAAAUACCACUCAUGGAGCCUGCUCGUACCGCCGUGCAUCGAACUGAACCGACGCCUUUGUUGCAGCGACACUGACGGUGAUACGCUGUGCCUAGCGUUCUACCCACUUCGUUUUAGUUUUUUUAAUUCAUAGAUAUUAUUAUAUAUAAUGUAUGUCAUGUCAUGUCACUGCUGCCAAAACGGACAAAUGGACACACCGGGAGUUAUAUUCAGCCGCUAAUCAUGAUUAACCUAACCUUAACCACUCGCAGCCGGCAUCAAACCCCAGACCCCAAACCGCAUGCGCACAUGUCAUGGACCUGGAGUCGCCAAUCGCCGCACAUUGGAUUCUUCUCUUCUUUUGGAUCAUACCCCCAACACGCUUCGCGAGGUGCGAUGUGUCCAUGCCAUGAGGCAUGAGCAGUAGCUUUCAGGGGGGAAGAAAGAACAAGAGGUCGCCCGCAGGCUCGCUCGCAGGAAAGCGAUUUACGUCCCCCCAAGGCCCCAAGAACAUGCCAAGAUUGCAGCUGCAGCUCGGUGCUCGGUGAUUGGGAAAUCACUGCGCCCCCGUCGUCUGGCAGCGUGAGCCACCGUACCCACCCACCAGAUCGCUCGGUUUGGUUGUCCUACCGGCGGGAAUGCGAUGCGAUGAGCAGGGAUAGGAUGGCAGUCGGACCCAUGGAUGCGGGUGCCCACGGCUUUGAGGGUGCGGGUGUAAAAUUUCACCCAUGGAUUCGGACCUGACCCAACCCGUCAGUGUAUUGAGAUGGGUCACAUGUGGGUGCAAGAUUUUACCCAUGUGUGCUUAAUGGGUGAUCAUAUUUUAGUUCAAUUGUCGAUAUAUCAUGGGCUAUGAGGUGAAAUUUUAGACUGCUGCUUUACUGUAGUUGAAUUGUUGAUGUAUCAUGUAAUGUUUGAUAAAAGUUUGGCUUCCUGCCAUUGCUAGACUAACUUUUUUUUUGUUGAGAUCAAACAUGAAUGUUUCCCUAAUUCGGUGUGUUGCUUAAAUUGUAUUUUGUGUGCCAAGUUCAUAUUAUAUCGCUUGACAUCGUAUGCUCCUGCGUAUAUUUUGUAAAUUUCUACUUCUUUGAACAGACCCAGUGGGUACCCAUCACCCAGCAGGUGCAGGUGUGGGUGCAAAAAUUCACCAGUUAAGUAUUAUGUGUGUGGGUGUAGAUAGAUACGACGGGUUAUGGGUGGGUUUUACCCCACCGGACCCAUUGCCAUCCCUAAGCAGGGAUGACCGGAUGACAGGAGCAGGUAGGGGACAGCCGGCCUGCAGGGGUUCCGAAAUGUCAAAGGCUAGCCGUGGCCAGCUACCCUCCUUUUUUCCUUUGCCCACAAAGCUGGCCACCGCUUCAAUGGUCUUUCGCUCCUUCGUGGCUAGAGGGGGGGGGGGUUGAGUGAAUGCGCUUUGUCCUGUCGAGAUAGUGAGUUUUGUAGAGUGGCUAAAGGCCGCCGACUUUGGUGUAUUUGUAUCUGACUCUGAAACAUCUCCAAAUUCAGAAGAGCAGGACGUUUGUUGAGGAAAAGAAAAAUUGGCUCGCGUCGCUCCCCCCGCGGGCGACACAGGCGGUGCCCUAGCCGCCAUCACCAACACCACCAACACCUCCCGCCUCUCGUGCCCGCCUCGUUGUUGCCACAGGGAGUCUCCGGAAGCCCGUGGACAACGGUGGCGGGUAAAAUCGGCCGGUGUGGGUCUCGUGCGCCGGGCCAAGAUGGUGCAAGGAGGCCAUGGCCAGGCGGCGCGCCGAAGCGGCGACGGCCUAGAUCCAGCCGUGCCGUGGGCGGAUCCGGCUUUCCUACCCUCGGAUCCGCCGCCCCCGACCCAUUUCGGCGCGCGACAAGCGGCACGGAGAGAGGAUGCGCGACGGUGGCGGCGGUCCGGGUGGAGGACGGUGGGCGCGAUGGCGGCGAGGCCGCGUGGCGGGGCCCCGCGUGGGGCGACGAGGCUGCACGUGCGGAGGGCCAGCGCAUCGUGGAGCUGGCUGCGUGGGCGCGCGGCGGUGGUUGCAGGCCGCGCGCGACGGCCCUGGGAGGCAGCAUGCUGCAAGCCGUGCGGCUGCAAGCUGACGCGCGGCGUCGGCAGGGAGAAAUGUCGCGGGUGCAGGCGGCGGAGGAGAAGACCUGCAUCCGGCUCGAGAUGUGUCAGGCUGCGGCGGGCGGUGACGACCGUGCGCGGUAGCAGCCGCGUGCGCAUCGACGAUGCGGUGAGGCGUCGUGGUGGCGCAGCCGAGGGGGUCUACGCAUUGUGCGAGGAGGCAUGGCGCCGCCGCCGCCUCGGGAGGGCUUCCAAGGCAGUGGUCUUGGGAAUGCCGAGCUGGGGACGUGCAAUGGUGGGGAUAGGAUGUUCCGGGUGAAAGCCUUUGCCAGCGAUCUUGCUGGUGGCGAUGGCGACAGCGUCCUAGGGCGUCAUUCUCCCCGUUGGGGGCGUCAUCUUGGAACUCCAUCCCAGCUAUACGGGGUUCUCUGGGUGAAAACCCUGUCCAGAUUCUGGACGAGCAACGGCGGCGCCACCGGCAUCAACCCCUCCUUGGAGGCGUCAUCUCUAGAGAUCCAACUCGGCUUGUGGCAUUGCUAGUGACGACGAUCAAGGGAGGUUGCAGUCGGUGGUGGCGCAAGGCGGCAUGGUGCAGGAUGGCGAGCUUGAUGGGGAUUGCUGAGUUCACGUGGAGGCGAUCACAAUUCUGGUGGCGGUCAGGGGUUAUCGCAUUGUUGUCGGUUGGCUGCUUGCAGUGGACCGCGGCGGAUGGUGUUGCUUGGCAACUAGCAGUGCGGCGUGGGACUGCGUUGGAGGACCGCGCUUGCAGCAACGGCACCGUGGAUGACUAGGUUUGCUGCGGACUACGGAGGGUGGCUCAGCAUUGCUGGGCUACUCCGGUGUGGUACCUCGUCGGAAGACGACGUAAGCAACUUCUUCGGCUACUACCUCGGUGGCGAAGGCUAUGUGCGCGGGUGGAGCAACGAAGCGAAGUCGGCCUGCGGCAGUAUUUUGGCUGUUCGAUGGGACCUUGGGAAGCGGGGCAGGAUUGCCCUCCAUUUUGAUGGCGACAAUAGACGGAUCCAUGACAUGGAGUACUGUGGUGGACGUGGCGAGACCCCCCCGCGCGUGGUGAGGGGUCUGGAUCUUAUGGUAUCACUCUGUCAGAUGGAGUGUGGUGUUGCAGCGGCACUACGGCGAAGGGUCCCGCAUGGCAGUGGUCUUCUUGUGCGAUGCGAUCUAUUUUUUCUUGGGUCCCUGUCAACGUGGAGUCCCGUCAGGAGGUCUCGGCGACUAUAUGAGAUUGAAAUUAUUGGUGGGCGCUGCAAUAGGACUUUUGGUACGGCUACCGUUGUCGAGUGGAGUUGGCGGUUUGAGUUGUGUGCUACCCGCGUUGAUGUCACAAUCUAACCGGACGAUUACAGGCUGUUUUUUCUUUCUUUUUCAUUUUCCUACCUAUGACCUGCCAUUAUCGUAGUCUUGUAUUCUUCUGCUAUAUCAAGAAACUCGCCCUAUCUCGUCGGGUUCGUUAAAAAAAAUUGAAAUGUCUGACGAGCAGGCGCAUAAUGGUGCAAGCACAUGUAGGGAUCACAUUUGUGACAUUUUGGCAAGGUUCUCGGGGCAGAUCAUUUUCACCAACGGAUAACCGCACCGACAUGUAGGGUUUGACGGGGCCCAAAUCAGGCCCAGCCCAGUACAGGCCCUCAAAAGCAUCGCCCACACACCCACACCCUUGUCGUGUCUGUGAGUCUGUCUCAUCCCCUUCAGGCAAUCAGAGGCUUCACGGCUCCACCUCCUCACCAAGUCACCGUCAGCACUCAGCACCCGCCAACCGCCCCCGCUGCCGAACCCGCUACCCCCCCCCCCCCCCCCCCCCCCCCCCCCCGCUCUCUCUCUCUCUCUCUCUCCAGCCUGAUUCCACCGAGGCACACGCCAGCCACACCGCCCCGCACACCCACCCAACAAACUCUUCCCUGCAAGCGUCUUGUUCCCUCGUCUCGCCGCCGCCUCUGCUCGUGUUGUUGGAUUGGCGGGGCGGGGAACUCGCGUGGACUGGAGCGGCCGGGGAUCCAUGCGGCAUUGGGAUCGAUUCCUCUCGUUGGUAAGAGACCAGCCCUACCUUGCCUAGAUGGAAGCUCUCCACGAGUGUUUCUCGCGAUCUUCCUCGGGGGUGAAUUUUGGUCUGGGAGAUGUUUCAACUGCAUUGGGCAAUCGUCAUCGUUCAGUUGCGGAUUUCUUUGCUGCAACAUGGGGGGAGCAUCGACGACGUAGUACUUCCAUCCGUUUCUGCGUGCUUGAUGCUUGUUGGGUUCGAGUAGGCUCGUAGUCUUCUUCUUCAGCGAUUUCAGUUUCACGCCGUGGGAGUGUGGGACUUGGGAUCUCAGGUAGGGGGUGCAGCUAAUUUUCUGAGUAAAGAUCGGGGUUCAUGCCCCACGCUGAGUCCGUCCCCUGGCGUUUUUCGGGGGAAAACGUUGCUGCAUUUCUUGGGAGGUUGUACGGCGUGCCAGAAUUCUGCUCUGCUCUGCUGUUUCCUGAGGUGUAAAUGGUGGAUAUCUGGUUGCCAUGCAAUUAUUCAUGGGGAUUUGUCCAAUUCCGCGUUUGUUCAUCAGGAUUUAUCCGAUUCUUUUUCCUUGCUCUUUUAAUGAAAUGGUUGGUUGGGAUAUAUGGAGGAUGGAACCGAUCUCUCUACUGUCUGCUGCAUAGUGGGCCAUUGCUGCAGUUGACAGUACACAGUAGGACUGGAUGUUAAUGUUCUUGGCCUCUUGCUGUGAUCUUGAUAUGUGUUAGGUCUGUAGGAGAUGAUGGUGUUUGUAACUUUCCUGGGAGUUAGUACGGGCCUGAGUGCAAAUAAUUGUUACCAUUUUAUUGCUUUUGUGGGCAUUUGCCUCCUCAGCCACUUGAUUGGUAAAUCCAAUUCUGUUCUACAGUUGUGUUCUAGAAACUCCGGACCUUCCUUGCUGUUGCUAUUCAUGGAGCUGUAUUUUUUUUUUAAUCUGAGACGCCACUCUAACUAAAUAGGAACUGCUAAAUCUGCCAUGUAUAUAGUCUUUUAUGUGUUUGCCCAUGAGUUUCUUGCUUAGUAUCUUACUGAAAUAUGCACUGAGACUUCUUAUUUGUCAUUGCUAGGCCCUGUAGUCUUACUUAUUGAAUGGUGGCCUGACGAAAGAUCCCCGGAGAUACAGCUGUUUUAUCUAAAUUAAGUUAAAUUAUCUGCACGCCAAAUAUGUCCGCGAUCAUGUUAUGUACUUGCAGCGGGGACCACUCCAAGUUUGAAGAUCUUCCUCGAUCGCCAGAAUCUCUUGCGACACGUGAUUUCUCAGCAAAUGGCUCUUCUUCAAAGAUGGCAAGUCGUGAAACAACUCCUGAUGAUAGCCAAGUAAAUGAAGUAGAAUCAGACCUAAGAGAGACCCUUUCACUAAAUUAUGAGGUUUGGCUGAACCUCCAACUCCUGCUCUUUAAAGAAGAUAUGCUGUCUUGCAAAGAUUUGCUCACUGUCAGAUUUAUUUGAUAAUGUAACAGGAGGCCCGGGCAUUGUUAGGUAGACUGGAACAUCAGAGAAGGAACUUUGAUGCAGCAUUGCAAGUUCUUCAGGGAAUUGAUAUAAGAAGCCUGAGACCACGAAUGACCACUGCUAUUGCUGAAAGUAUCAAGCCUAGAGUGCCACCACGCUCUUCAAGAAGGAAAUCCUCACAAGUGAAUGGAAUGCUAAUGCAUAUGUCAAUGCACUCUGUAAGCUUGCUUCUAGAGGCCAUAUUGCUUAAAGCAAAAUCUUUGGACGCCCUUGGUAGAGUAACAGGUAUUAACUGCACUUUUUGUUCAGUGUGCUUUCUUGUAUUCUACUUAAGCAUCUUCAUCUGAAAUAUGUACACUAGCUCCAGAAGCAUUGCGAAUUCGCUGUUGUCCUAUGUAUGUGGGGCCUAGUUAUUUUUGUUUAAUAAAAUUAAUGCAAACUGAAACAUGUGCAUUUCACAAACUGAAAUGAAGUCUGUUAUGCUUCGUAUUGACAUCUUCUGCAUCUGAAAGAACUUUGUUGCAUAAAUCUGAAUUUCACUUCAUGCUACCUUAUCAUCGCAGAUGCUGCAGAAGAAUGCAGAAUUAUCAUAGACAUCAUAGAGUCUGCAUGGCCAUAUGGUGUUCCAGAUGGUAUUGCUGAAGAGUGUAAGCUAAUAGACAUAUUCCAUUCAGCUCUAGAAUAUCUUCCUAAACUGUGGAUGAGGAGUGGUUGUUUUGACGAAGCCAUCAUUGCAUAUCGGAGAGCUCUUGCAAAGCCAUGGAAUCUAGAUUCUCAAAGGUCCGCCAACUUACAAAAAGAUUUGGCAGUGACUCUGCUGUAUUGUGGUGUUGAUGUGAAGUUCCCUCAAGAAUUUGCUCAGGAAAGGAAUCUGGUAAGCCCUGGGAACAAUAUAGAGGAAGCAAUUUUGUUGUUACUCAUACUAACAAGAAAGCUAUCCCUCCAAGAAAUAAAAUGGGAUCCUGACCUUGUGAACCAUUUGAUGUAUGCACUGUCAUUAUCUGGGCAAACUGAAGUUUUGGCCAGCCAUCUAGAAAUGUUGUUGCCUGGAACCUAUACCAGAUCGGAGAGAUGGUAUAUCCUUGCACUUUGCUAUAGUGCAGCUGGCAUGGAUGAUAGUGCAUUAAACAUCAUAAGGAAUGGUUAUUGUGUACUGGAGAGAAAGGGAAAGCCUCAUAUUCCAUCUCUUCUUUUGGGAGCAAAACUAUGCUGUAAGAACCCAAAGCAUGCUUCGGAAGGGAUAAAAUUUGCAAAUAAAGCCAUGAAGUCAUUCAGAAGUUGUGAUAUGCAUUUCAUCAGCAUUGUGAACCAUUUUCUCGGUGUUUGUUAUGGACCUUUUUCUAGGUCCUCCACCUCACACUUGGACAAAUCGAGAUUACAAGACGAUGCACUGAGGCUGCUGCAGGAUGCUGCUGCAAUGGCAGAGUAUAAUCCUGAAAUAUUGUACAGCCUUGCUUGGGAAAAUGCAAUGCAACGGAAACUCAAUGCAGCUGUUGAAAGUGCAACAGAAUGUCUUGAGAUGGUGAUGGGAGGUUCCGUUAGUGCCUGGAAGUUAUUAAUUCUUGUAUUAUCUGCACAGCAAAAUUUACAAGAAGCCGAAGCAGUAGCAGAUUUUGCAAUGGAUGAAGCUGAGAAAGAUGAUCAGUUGGAUAUUUUGAGGCUGAAAGCACAAAUUCAGGCUUCCCGUGGACAGUUCAAGUCUGCAGUGGAAUCUUUUCAGGUUUUGCUUUCAACUAUUCAAGCAAAGAAGGAAGUUUGGAAAUCGACCACUUGUAAGGAGGUACAGUGCCCUCAUCUUUAUUGAUCUUUAAUAAAAGUAUCAUGUUUCUUCUUUGCUCAUGAUCCAUUUGAUCUUGACAGGUUAAAUCCCUACAGAAGUUGGAGAUGGACGCAUGGUUAGAUUUGGCGUCAAUAUACUCAAAGCUCGAAGCAUGGCAUGACUCGAACGUCUGCCUGGACAAAGCCAUAUCCAUUGAUUUGUUUUAUCCCAAGUGUUGGCACAUCAGAGGUAACUAUUACUGUUUUUUUUAAUAAUCAGCAGGAGCACUGUCUUGUCAGAUAAGAAGACAAGGCAUGCAAGUCUUACAACAAUGCAAUUACAUAAAUAACUAGCACUAUUCUUACUCUAGGUUUACAAUUCAUGAAAUUUAAAUUGACUCUGGGAUCCCAUGAGCCUUUCUCCGCAGCACGAUCUCUUCCUUGAUCAGUCUGACCACUUGGAUUGAUUGCUCUCAUUUCCCUUCAAAGAUCCUGUGGUUCCUUCCUUUCCAGAUAUUCCAUGCCAUGUACAUCAUAAGGGCAGCUUUCACUCUUCUUGUAUUUUUUUGGCAAUGCCUUUAAGGAGUUGCGCCACCAAUUCUCUAGACUAUCUCCUAUCUGUGGCACUGCAAUCAGGGCCUGGUACCUUGUCAUCCUCUAUGUCCUUCACUACUGACAGGACCUCUUUCUUCUGUAAAAGACUCUUCCAAGUGUUCUAAGUUGUGGCUUUGCAAGCCAAUGGCCUCCCAGUCCAGAGUAUGUGAUCUGCUUGGCUGUUCUCCAAACUGCUUGCUAAAGUGCUGAUAGAUGGCUUCUGCUUUAUCUCCAUGUGUAUAUGCAAAACCCUCAUUGGUAUGUAGUUGCUGAAUAAAGUUCUUCCUUCUUCCAGUUACCCUGAGAUAGAAGAGUUUGUCUGACGCUUCAGUGGCUCUGACCAUUGUUAGCCUUGACUGCUGUUUCAGCCUUGAUUUCUCAACCUCAAUCGUACCCAAGUUUCUUGCUUUGAGAUCUCUUUUGAAUUGCACCUCCCCCUGACUAAGGUCCCUAUAAUCUUGCACCACGUCAAAGAUCCAAAUGAGCUGUUUUGCUGACAGAAGCAGAAGCUUGUGAUGCCCAAUUUUUUAUUUGGCCCAAUGCCGCAGUUUCCUCGCUGUUCUUUGCCAUUUAGUGUGCAGGCGAAGGAAUGGAUUGGUAACUGACAAUGUCCCUAUUAAUACACUGGUACGCAGCUCUCCUGUGUGUUAGAGAGAAAAAAACUGACAAUGGCUGAGUCCAAGCUGCAGAUACUGCCACAUGAUACCCUUCGAUCUUUGGCCAGAAACUUUCAAAGCGAAACCCCAUGUAAGUAGGCACUGUAAGCCUGUCAGACAAGCAAGAGCGGACAGUGGUCUGACAAACUAACGAUGACAUGGCCUGAAGGAUAGAGUUUGGCUGCAGGAUUUCACCCCUCAGAUGUGCAAAAAGCUCUAUUGAUCCGUGUCUCUGACUUUGCUGGACCAUGUAAAUUUUCUUCCUUUCAGGCAGAUUUCCGGUAGUUCAAGAUCUUGCACAGGAUUUCUGAAUUCUUCCAUGAUUCUACGAUUCAGAUUCGAGUUACUCUUGUCCGUGGCUUGCAGAAUCAUAUUGAAAUCGACAUCCAUUAGCCAUUUAUCCGAGACAGCCUGCCUAACAUAUCUCAGCUCUUGUAAGAAUAAGAUCUUUCCAUUGUCUUCUUGUGGGCCAUACAUCGCUGUCAACCACCAUACUGCCACUGUUGACCUUGAUUCUAUCUUGGCCGUGACUGAAUUAUUUCUGUGCUCAGCCAGACUAACUCUGUAGUGAUCCUCAUCAGCCGUGAGCAAAGCAACCCCCUCUAGGACCUUGUGCCGGUAGCACUUCAAAAUUGUUCUCGAACUUCUCCCCAAGGGUUUCUCUAACCAUCUGAGCAUGUGUUCCAUUUUUCUUUCCUGCAAACUGACCAAAUGCAUCAGGUUUCAUUUGCCAGAUCUUUGGCCACCUUCCUCCUGGAUGGAUUGUUUAGCCCACGUGUAUUCCAAUUGAGCAAAAGGCCUUGUUGGUCACCCAUUAUUCAAACUAAAACAACUCUGGAACUCUUAACAACUUGCAAACUAAAACUGACAGAUUCUUGCUACUAGCAGCUGCAAUGGUUAUCACAGCUACAAGUCGAUGUGGAAAAUGAUUGAAGACACACACAAACAUGAUGGGGAAAACAAGUGCACACACGCACACACAACGACAUGGCAACAUCCGCCAUCUAAGCCUCUGCAUUUAUAGGUGAUAGCAAUAGCGCUGAGACUGUCAGUGCCUCCUUGUGCCUCGAGGACAACUUCCUCCUUUAGUGGCUCAACGAAUUGGGCUCUGACUGUGCAUGAGCCUCUGAAUCCAGUACCUUGUUCGUGUCCAGGAAACAACACCUCUUCAUGAUCAAUGCUGUAGCCUGCUCUUCCAGGAAGAGAUCAGUAUGCGGCCUGUUUGCCAGCCGUUCGCCCUUCCUUUGCAAUUCGUGCUUCUUUGUUUGGGACUGGGUGUUUGCUUUCUUGAUUGUUUUCUUGCAACUUAUGUGUGGAGUUGAGGAGGGAUCUGCUUACUUUCUUCAAAAAAUUUGGGUUGCUGUGAUCCCACUGAAAAGUUGACUCUGCUACUGUUUGUACAAUAGUGAGCUUUUGAGCAAUGGAUUUGCAAAUGCUACGAUUAAACUACUAUGAUCAUUGCUUCAUUGAACCUUAAGAAAAUUUAAAUAAAUUCUUGUAACUUAACCAAUUUCUUCUUGAUGCUUUUGUGUGCUCUGGGCAUUACGAAAGUUGGGAUAGUCCCUGAAACAUGAUAAUACUUUGCUUCUGUAUUAAUAUUAAGUUACAUCAUAUUAAAGCAAAAAUCAUGUCCGUAAAAGUUAAAUGUGUAUCUGGAACUGUUAUAUAUAACUACUAUAGUUCGUUUGACGGAUCUAGGUGUAUGAAAGUGCUCAUGUGAUCCUUUGCAGGUCUUCUAUUGGAGGCGCAAUCCUUGCACCAGGAAGCCCUGAUGGCGUUCUCAUUUGCCCUCUCAAUCGAUCCAGAUUAUGUACCAGGCAUGGUUUGUAUGGCAGGAAUUCUCCGAAAUAUUGGAGGGAAAUCGUUAUCAAUUGCAAGAACUUUCUUGCGCAAUGCCCUCCGUUUAGAGCCUACAAACCACCGAGCCUGGUUGAGCCUUGGGCUUGUCCUGAAAGCUGAAGGAUCGCUGGUGGAGGCCGCGGACUGCUUCCAGGCAGCAUACGAGCUCAGAGAAUUGUCGCCGAUUCAGGAUUUCUCCGAGCAACUCCCCAUCAUGCUGCAUUAGGAACCUGUAGCAAAGGUUCACAGUUUUUCAUGUAGAAAUUUUCUUCAUUUCUCAGUUAUUAACUUAUCAGCUAUCACUUGCAAAAGGUAGGAAGCAUAUAAUUUUGUGAAUGUAAAUUAAUUCACUUCUGUUCGUGAACAAUUUUGCCCGCUGUUAUGCGCUUCCCCAGCAACAUCAGGCUGAAGUUUCUUGCAACAAUGUCCUACCUGUAGGCUGCACUGCAGGCUCCGGACUGCUUAACUUGCACUCUUGUUCUCAAUCCAAAUCCAUGGGUGAUUGCAUUGGUAUCCAUUUCCUGAUCUUAUUGUUUGGUAGUCACAUGAAUUGUAACUUGGAAAACAAACCUGAAACCUCUGACUCAAGGCCGACGGCGGUGUGAGACAUCCUCUUUGCAACAGAUACCUGUCCAGUACUUGCUGCCUCUUGGGGCUCUCGACAGCGGAUGCCAAACGACGCGCGUUCUCUUGACUGGAACGGUCUCGGUGGAUGGCGCUCAAUGCCUUCUCGCCUUGGAACGAGCAUGCAAGGCCAGUGAAGACAGCGGGAUGGAAACGAGGUCCGUCGGAGAUGACCCUGGUUGAGCUCUUGUAGAGGGCCUGCAUGGUCGAGGGUCUGGCUCAGGGAGUCAGGGUCGAUGAGUCGAGCCAUUCUGGUCGAUUGGGUGGCCUCGAGCUUUUCACAAAUGAAUUGUCGACGACCAAUCAUACAAUGGGCGAGCCAACUAUCAAUCCAUCACCGAUAGAAUUGUAAACGGAUCAGUAUCAGCCAGUCUCCUUUUGCAUUGAAAUAACAAAUUGAAACCUUUUGCAUUAGUAUAACAAAUUGAAAAACAGGCAGCAUCGAGCAUCUCCGCUCAGAAAGAACAAUCCACCUACGUGAAUCACCAAGCAGAACCUAUCAUGGACAAAAUUCACCAAACAAAACUUCAGGCAACAAAUUGAACACCACGAAGAUGACACCAAAACUUAGGAUCCAGAUAACCACAAACGAAUAAACUCAAACACUUGUUUUCAGACAAGAACUACCACAUAGCCAAAAUAAGCCGCCCACCGGUUCUCAGACAAAUUGUUCCGAAAGGCACAUAAACACCUCAACAGGUGACAGUACAUAUAUCUUCCAAAUAUAGCAAAAUACGAUGAUUAACUAUCCUACUCAGCUGCAGCAGCCUCCUGGCCAACCACGGCCUCCUCACCCUCAGCAGGCCUCUCAAGCUUGACACCGACAUCCUCCUUGGUAUAGUCACCAUGGACCUGCAAAGCAAUAUUAAGUGUUAGAAUGACAGGCCACAGAAAGGCCGAAAAAAACAUGAUAGCUCUGUCACUAGGAAUUACCUCCAUUAGCUUCCCGAGGUCAAACUUGGGGGCCUUGAGGAUCUUGACCUUCCGGAUAAAAACAUUCUGCAGUGGGAAGAUGCUUGAGGUAGCCUUUUCAAUUUCCUUACCAAUGACCUCAGGAAUAAACUUAGACACCAACUCCUUCAGGUCACAGGUAGAGGCCUGGUUGGCCAUGAUCUCAACCAUCUUCCGGCGGAUCUGCACAUAGAGCGCAAGUAUAGUGAGACAAACAGGAUAACAUAGUUUCAGGCUGAUUUGACAGAUACAUGGACAUUGCUAGCUUUAGAACUCUUCUACAUAAGCAACGACAGAUGUUACCUGACGGAUCUGGGAGGCCUGUGCAUAGCAGGUACGCUUCACUUGGUUGGGUCUCCUCUUUGUGAAUCCGAUGCAAAACAACCGCAACAUGUAGUUGUCAGUGGUCUUCACAUCAACAUGGGCCUCAAUCAGUGUCUGCCAUUUCCUGACCAGGGACCGAAGCUUGUCGGUCGUAAAAUCCAUACCCUAAGAAACAAAGAGGACAAGUUAACAACACAAACACAAUGAAAGGGGCAACAAGUAUGUGCUGCUGAUCAUUACCCAGAAGUUGGUAAGGACAUUACGACCCUGGAUAUCUUCAGCCCGGAGACGGAUCUUCCUGUAGGCCUGAUCUUCAUCACUCUGAAGAUCAGCAAGGGAAACCUCAAACACACGGUGCUUGAGACCCUCUGAAGCAAUCUAAAACCACAGAAAACAUGCAUGAAUCAGCAUAUUAUGCCAACAAGUAGUGCAUCUACAUUCAGAAGAUUGCAAAUAGUAGCAGCCAAUAAAACAGUAUCUGAAGGUUUCAAAGCUUCAAUUUCAUAGACUCUUGAUCCACAGUUCAGGUCCCAAAAAAUCACAAUAGCAAUUCAGAAUGACCCUUACUAGUAUAUUGAUAUAGAACCAAAAACACAUA